rnacentral:rRNA from 1 species
AUACGUAGGGGACGAGCGUUGUCCGGACUUACUGGGCGUAAAGGGCGCGCAGGCGGUAUAUCAAGUCAGCUGUCAAAGACUGGGGCUCAACCCUGGUAUGCGGUUGAUACUGGAUGGCCUGAGUUCGGGAGAGGGAUGCGGAAUUCCAGGUGUAGCGGGGAAAUGCGUAGAUCUCUGGAGGAACACCGGUGGCGAAGGCGGCAUCCUGGACCGACACUGACGCUGAGGAGCGAAAGCCAGGGGAGCAAACGGGAUUAGAUACCCCGGUAGUCCUAGCCCUAAACGAUGAAUGCUUGGUGUGGCGGGUAUCGAUCCCUGCCGUGCCGAAGCUAACGCAUUAAGCGCCCCGCCUGGGGAGUACGGCCGCAAGGCUAAAACUCAAAUGAAUUGACGGGG